CAGUUGAUUCAGCUGGUAACGAGUUUCCGAUAUCUUAAACGAUUCACAAUACAAAAGGAACUUCCUUUGCUUAAUAAUUGAGCUCCCAAAUAAAUGUGAAUAGUUAAGUUUUUAUUCAAAAUUAUCGAAAGCAAAGUGUCAUAUGUGUUCGCAUACGAAUACUGACCCCCUCAAUACUGAAUAACAGACGGACGGCCACACCA
rnacentral:lncRNA from 1 species